rnacentral:rRNA from 1 species
UACGAGAGGCCCAAACGUUAUUCGGAAUCACUGGGCUUAAAGAGUUCGUAGGCGGCGCGGAAAGUGGGGUGUGAAAGCCCUCGGCUCAACCGAGGAAUUGCGCUCCAAACUGCCGUGCUUGAGGAGGCUAGAGGUAAGCUGAACUGAUGGUGGAGCGGUGAAAUGCGUUGAUAUCAUCAGGAAUACCGGAGGCGAAGGCGGCUUACUGGGACCUUUCUGACGCUGAGGAACGAAAGCUAGGGGAGCAAACGGG